AGAGUACGUGAAACCGUUCAGGGGUAAACCUGAGAAACCCGAAAGGUCGAAAGGGGAAAUUCAUUCGCGUUUCGAUCGCUGGCGUGGGACGGGUCGUGCGACGGACGACGUACGCGUCGUUCGCGCCUUCCUUCUUUCGAACCGCGAUCGAACGCGUGCACUUUUCCCCUAGUAGGACGUCGCGAUCCGUUGGGUGUCGGUCUAAGGCCCGCGGUGGAGCCCGCGCGGAAACUUCACGGUUUUCGCUCGGACCCGCGGUGUUUUAUAUCCCGAUCGACUCGCUCGACGGUAUACAGAUGGCGCGGGGCCGCUAAACAAUCUCUAGUUAGCGUUCGGCCCGCGGCAAGCGCGUUCGGCGUUUGACGGCGAUCGGACCUGGUGCCGGUCCUGUCCCCGAACGACUGUUGGCCGCGGUGUUCUCGAACAGACCUCGUUCGAAACGCCGAUCUGCGACGCUAUAGCUUUGGGUACUUUCAGGACCCGUCUUGAAACACGGACCAAGGAGUCUAGCAUGUGCGCGAGUCAUUGGGACAUAACUAAACCUAAAGGCGUAAUGAAAGUGAAGGUCCGCCUCGCGCGGACCGAGGGAGGAUGGGCGGUCGCGCCUUACCCGUGCGCCGCCUCGCACUCCCGGGGCGUCUCGUUCUCAUCGCGAGAAGA
rnacentral:rRNA from 1 species